UACGUAGGGGGCGAGCGUUAAUCGGAAUUACUGGGCGUAAAGCGUGCGCAGGCGGUUUUGUAAGACAGGCGUGAAAUCACCGGGCUCAACCUGGGAAUGGCGCUUGUGACUGCAAGGCUGGAGUGCGGCAGAGGGGGAUGGAAUUCCGCGUGUAGCAGUGAAAUGCGUAGAUAUGCGGAGGAACACCGAUGGCGAAGGCAAUCCCCUGGGCCUGCACUGACGCUCAUGCACGAAAGCGUGGGGAGAAAACAGG
rnacentral:rRNA from 1 species